rnacentral:rRNA from 1 species
CCUACGGGUGGCAGCAGUGGGGGAUAUUGGACAAUGGGGGAAACCCUGAUCCAGCGACGCCGCGUGAGUGAAGAAGUAUUUCGGUAUGUAAAGCUCUGUCAGCAGGGAAGAAAGAAAUGACGGUACCUGACCAAGAAGCCCCGGCUAACUACGUGCCAGCAGCCGCGGUAAUACGUAGGGGGCAAGCGUUAUCCGGAAUUACUGGGUGUAAAGGGAGCGUAGACGGUGAUGCAAGUCUGGAGUGAAAGGCGGGGGCCCAACCCCCGGACUGCUCUGGAAACUGUGUAACUUGAGUGCAGGAGAGGUAAGCGGAAUUCCUAGUGUAGCGGUGAAAUGCAUAGAUAUCACGCAGAACUCCGAUUGCGAAGGCAGCAUACCGGCGCUCAACUGACGCUCAUGCACGAAAGUGUGGGUAUCGAACAGGAUUAGAUACCCCUGUAGUC